rnacentral:tRNA from 3 species
GCGCUCAUAGCUCAGUUGGUAGAGCAGUUGCCUCUUAAGCAAACGGUCCCAGGUUCGAGCCCUGGUGGGCGCACAA